CACGUAGGGUGCGAGCGUUGUCCGGAAUUAUUGGGCGUAAAGAGCUCGUAGGCGGUGUGUCGCGUCGGCCGUGAAAACCUGCAGCUUAACUGUGGGCUUGCGGUCGAUACGGGCAUCACUGGAGUUCGGCAGGGGAGACUGGAAUUCCUGGUGUAGCGGUGAAAUGCGUAGAUAUCUGGAGGAACACCGGUGGCGAAGGCGGCGUCCUGGACCAACACUGACACUGAGGCACGAAGGCCAGGGGAGCAAACGGG
rnacentral:rRNA from 1 species